UACGUAGGGUGCAAGCGUUGUCCGGAAUUAUUGGGCGUAAAGGGUCCUGAGGUGGCUAGCCAAGUCUAUUGUGAAAUAUCAGGGCUUAACCCUGAACAUGCGGUGGAAACUAGAAAGCUUGAGUACAGUAGGGGCGGAGGGAAUUUCCGGUGGAGCGGUGAAAUGCAUAGAUAUCGGGAAGAACACCAACGGCAAAAGCACUCCGCUGGGCUGAUACUGACACUGACAGACGAAAGCUAGGGGAGCAAACAGG
rnacentral:rRNA from 1 species